GGAUGAACGCUGGCGGCGUGCCUAAUACAUGCAAGUCGAGCGAACAGAUGAGGAGCUUGCUCCUUUGACGUUAGCGGCGGACGGGUGAGUAACACGUGGGUAACCUACCUAUAAGACUGGGAUAACUUCGGGAAACCGGAGCUAAUACCGGAUAAUAUUUCGAACCGCAUGGUUCGAUAGUGAAAGAUGGUUUUGCUAUCACUUAUAGAUGGACCCGCGCCGUAUUAGCUAGUUGGUAAGGUAACGGCUUACCAAGGCGACGAUACGUAGCCGACCUGAGAGGGUGAUCGGCCACACUGGAACUGAGACACGGUCCAGACUCCUACGGGAGGCAGCAGUAGGGAAUCUUCCGCAAUGGGCGAAAGCCUGACGGAGCAACGCCGCGUGAGUGAUGAAGGUCUUCGGAUCGUAAAACUCUGUUAUUAGGGAAGAACAUACGUGUAAGUAACUGUGCACGUCUUGACGGUACCUAAUCAGAAAGCCACGGCUAACUACGUGCCAGCAGCCGCGGUAAUACGUAGGUGGCAAGCGUUAUCCGGAAUUAUUGGGCGUAAAGCGCGCGUAGGCGGUUUUUUAAGUCUGAUGUGAAAGCCCACGGCUCAACCGUGGAGGGUCAUUGGAAACUGGAAAACUUGAGUGCAGAAGAGGAAAGUGGAAUUCCAUGUGUAGCGGUGAAAUGCGCAGAGAUAUGGGAGGAACACCAGUGGCGAAGGCGACUUUCUGGUCUGUAACUGACGCUGAUGUGCGAAAGCGUGGGGAUCAAACAGGAUUAGAUACCCUGGUAGUCCACGCCGUAAACGAUGAGUGCUAAGUGUUAGGGGGUUUCCGCCCCUUAGUGCUGCAGCUAACGCAUUAAGCACUCCGCCUGGGGAGUACGACCGCAAGGUUGAAACUCAAAGGAAUUGACGGGGACCCGCACAAGCGGUGGAGCAUGCGGUUUAAUUCGAAGCAACGCGAAGAACCUUACCAAAUCUUGACAUCCUUUGACAACUCUAGAGAUAGAGCCUUCCCCUUCGGGGGACAAAGUGACAGGUGGUGCAUGGUUGUCGUCAGCUCGUGUCGUGAGAUGUUGGGUUAAGUCCCGCAACGAGCGCAACCCUUAAGCUUAGUUGCCAUCAUUAAGUUGGGCACUCUAAGUUGACUGCCGGUGACAAACCGGAGGAAGGUGGGGAUGACGUCAAAUCAUCAUGCCCCUUAUGAUUUGGGCUACACACGUGCUACAAUGGACAAUACAAAGGGCAGCGAAACCGCGAGGUCAAGCAAAUCCCAUAAAGUUGUUCUCAGUUCGGAUUGUAGUCUGCAACUCGACUACAUGAAGCUGGAAUCGCUAGUAAUCGUAGAUCAGCAUGCUACGGUGAAUACGUUCCCGGGUCUUG
rnacentral:rRNA from 1 species